GCAGUACAGCUGCCCACAGACCCGGAAGUCGCUGUCUGGACCGCUGUGUCCGGAUUGCCUUCUAAAGAAUCCAAUUACAUGAAGAAGCCCAGAAGAAGAAAGAAAAGGAUUCAGAAAUGGCUCUUACUCAGAGGCGAUUAACAUUCAGGGAUGUGGCCGUGGAGUUCUCUGAGGAGGAGUGGAUGUUUCUGGACCCUGCUCAAAGGAGUUUAUACAGGGACGUGACGUUGGAGAACUAUAGGAACCUGGUCUUCGUGGGUAUCUUUUCUGCAUGUGUGAUAAAUGAAUUGCCAGCUAUAGACAGCAGUAGUACAGAAGAAAUAUCCCCCACAAUGAUGUUGGAAAGGAAUGAAAACCAUGACACUGAAGACUUUUGCUUUAGGGAAAUCCAGAAGAAUAUACAUAACUUUGUGAGUCAGUGGAGAGAUGAUGAAAGACAUUGCAGUGGAGUCCGUAUGACCCCUCAGGGAAAUCUCACUGGUAGGAGAGAUCAGCAUGAUAGGAAGGAUUCAGAAAACAAGCUUGUUAAUAAUCAGCUGGGAUUGAACACCCAGUCAGAUAUGCCGGAAAUGCAGGUAUUGAAGAUUGAAGAGAAAAUUUAUGAAUGUAAUCUCAUGGAGCCAUCUGUCAACAGUGAGUUCUUGAUUUCCCCACCCCACAGAAUUCGUUCUACUAUGACACCCCACCUUUCUCAUGAACAUGAGUAUGAUCUUAUGGAUUCAUUAUUCCCACAAAGAGAAAAACCAGAGAUAGUGACAGAACGUUACAAAUGUACUGAUUGGGACAAGGUCUUUAAUCAAGGGUUAUAUUUCAAUAUUCAGGAAGUAAUGAAUGGGGAAGGGAAUCAAUUUAAAUGUGAUAUAUGUGCCAAGGUAUUCAAUAAAAAAUCAAGCCUUAGAAGACAUCAGAAAGUUCAUGCUGUAAAGAAAACUUACAAGUGUAAUGAAUGUGGUAAGCUAUUCCAUGCAAGUUCAAUGCUUGGACAAGAUUGGAAAAUUCCUACAGGUGGAAAACCUUACAAAUGUAAUGAAUGUGGAGAAGCAUUCCGAGUAAGUUCCUCUGUUGUAGAACACAGGAGAAUUCACACUGGAGAGAAACCUUACAAAUGUAAUGAAUGUGGCAAAAUGUUCACUCGUAAAUCAUCCGUAGCACAUCACUGGAGGAUUCAUACUGGAGAGAGACCUUACAAAUGUAAUGAAUGUGGAAAGCUAUUCCGUGGAAGUUCAGCCCUUGUACAGCAUCGGAGAAUUCACACUGGAGAGAAACCUUACAAAUGUAAUGAAUGUGGCAAAAGGUUCAGUCACAAAUCAUCCCUAGCAUAUCACUGCAGGAUUCAUACUGGAGAGAAACCUUACGAAUGUAAUGAAUGUGGAAAGGUAUUUAAUCGUAUUUCACACCUUGCACGACAUCAGGGAAUUCACACUGGAGAAAAACCUUACAAAUGUAAUGAAUGUGGCAGAAGAUUCACUCGCAAAUCAUCCCUAACACAUCACUGCAGGAUUCACACUGGAGAGAAACCUUACAAAUGUAAUGAAUGUGGCAAAAUGUACAGUAGCAAGUCAUCCCUAGGACAGCAUUGGAAGAUUCAUGCUGAGAGAAACCUUACAAAUGUUAUGAAUGUUACUAGGCCUUCAGUUGCAAUUCACACCUUUCAUGACAUCUAAUAAUUCAUACUGAUGCCUUUGACGUUUUGGAAUGUGGCCAUAGAAUUCUCUCAGGAGGAGUGGACGUACCUGGACCCUGCUCAGAGGGUUUUAUACAGGUACGUGAUGUUGGAGAACUAUAGGAACCUGGUCUCUCUGGGGAGGAGCUGUGUAUUGGGAAAGGAUACAAGAUACAAGCCUAUUAAAGAUCAACUCAGAUUCACUCCCAUCUGCCAUUUCAAGAUGAAGAUAAAAUUGAUGAAUGGAAUGAAGUUGAAAACUCUCUUAACCAGGCUCAACAUCCGUAGGACAUUGGUUAUGGUGCCAGCCACAUACACUAAGUUGGCAGGUUCAAACCCAGCCCAGGCCAGCUAACCAACAAUGACAACUGUAACAAAAAAUAGCUGGGCGUAUUUGGGGUGGGGGCCUGUAAUCCCAGCUACUUGAAAGGCUGAGACAAGAAAAUUGCUUGAGCCUGCGAGUUUGAGGUUGCUAUGAGCUGUGACCCCAUGGCACUCUACUGAGGGUGACAUAGUGAGACUCUGUCUCAAAAAAAAAAAAAAAAGAAAGGGUGGCACCUGUGGCUCAGUCGGUAAGGCGCCGGCCCCAUAUACCGAGGGUGACGGGUUCAAACCCGGCCACAGCCAAACUGCAACCAAAAAAUAGCUGGGCGUUGUGGCGGGCGCCUGUAGUCCCAGCUACUCGGGAGGCUGAGGCAAGAGAAUCGCUUAAGCCCUGAAGUUGGAGGUUGCUGUGAGCUGUGUGAGGCCACGGCACUCUACCGAGGGCCAUAAAGUGAGACUCUGUCUCUACAAAAACCCACAAAAACUCUCUCACCUGUAUUGCCUCAUGUUCACCACUUGAAAACAUUACUUUUAAACUCAAAACUUAUCACAUAUGGGCUUGGGGCCUGUGGCUCAGAAGCUAGGACACCAGCCACAUACAUCAGAGCUGGUGGGUUCAAAUCCAGCCCCAGACUGCCAAACAACGACAACGGCAACCAAAAACAAACUUCAUGUACAUCAGAUUAUUCAUAAUGUAAAUAAAUUCUAUAUAUGUGAUGAGUAUGGUAAGGUUUUUAGGUACAAAGUAUCCUUAAGAGUUAACUUCAGUAUUUAUACCAGAGAGAAACAUCACAAAUCUAAUGACUGUGGCAAGGUCUUCAGUUUAAAAUUGUACCUCGGGCUCAGUGCCAAUAGCACAGUGGUUACGACGCCAGCCACAUAUACCAAGGCUGGCAGGUUUGAACCCCGCCUGGGCCUGCUGAACAACAAUGACAACUACAAAAAAAAAAAAAAAAUAGCUGGGUGUUGUGGCAGGCGCUUGUAGUCCUAGCUACUUGGGAGGCUGAGGCAAGAGAAUUGCUUAAGCCCAAGAGUUUGAGGUUCCUAUGAGCUGCGGCACCACAGCCCUCUACUGAGGGUGACAUAGUGAGACUCUAUCUCAAAAAAUAAAUAAAUAAAAAAGCACCUCAAAAGUCAUCAAAGAUUUCACACAGGAGAGAAACUUUACAAAUGGAAUGUAUGCAGUAAGGCCUUUAUUUUAUUUUAUUUUUUUUUUUUUUUUGAGACAGAGUCUCACAAUGUCACCCUUGGUAGAGUGCUAUGGCGUCAUAGCUCACUGCAAUCUCAAACUCUUGGGCUCAAGUGAUUUUCUUGCCUUAGCCUACCUGGUAGCUGGGACUAUAGGCACCCACCACAAUGCCCGGCUAUUUCUUGUUAUUGUUGUCUGUUUGUUUAGCAGGCUUAAGCCGGGUUUGAACCCACCAGCUCUGUUGGAUGUGGCUGGUGCCCUAACUGCUCAUCUACAAGCGCUGAGCCUGCAGUAAGGCCUUUAGUCACAUUUCAUACCUUGCAUAGCAUCAGAGAAUUCAUUUGUGAGAGACUCUGCGGACUCAUUGAGGGUGACAACUUCUCAUCAUGAGUUCCAUCAUUAGUCAGCAUCACGGAGUCCAUACUAAAGAGAAAUCAAAUAAAUGCAAAGUAUGUGGCUGGGCUUUAUCCAGGCCUGACCACUCACUCACUCCUCAUUACACAACUACAGGUACAUCUUCCAUGAAACCUCCCAAAUGAAAUGUUUGUCAUGGGACUAAUACCUAAGGACCUUACUGUGGAAUAUCAGAAUUUGCACAAAAAAUAAAGUAGUUUCUAGUUUUCCAGUAUUUAAUGUCUGAUGUUACAUGGUGGAGAGUAACUAUAAUCAAAAUAGAUUGACCACCAUGACAUGACACGUAUCACACAUACAAGGACAUAGGGACAUAGUUAGGGAUUUUUAAGUUAUACAAUGUUUCAUUAUUUGAGGUUCUUUGAAAAGGCUACUUUUCUUUUUCUUUUUUUUUUUUUUAAUUUUUUUUUGUAGAGACAGAGUCUCACUUUAUGGCC